rnacentral:rRNA from 1 species
UGCACGCUGGCGGCGUGCCUAAUACAUGCAAGUCGCGCGCACGGACGCGAAGCUUGCUUCUCUGAUGUUAGCGGCGGACGGGUGAGUAACACGUGGAUAACCUACCUAUAAGACUGGGAUAACUUCGGGAAACCGGAGCUAAUACCGGAUAAUAUUUUGAACCGCAUGGUUCAAAAGUGAAAGACGGUCUUGCUGUCACUUAUAGAUGGAUCCGCGCUGCAUUAGCUAGUUGGUAAGGUAACGGCUUACCAAGGCAACGAUGCAUAGCCGACCUGAGAGGGUGAUCGGCCACACUGGAACUGAGACACGGUCCAGACUCCUACGGGAGGCAGCAGUAGGGAAUCUUCCGCAAUGGGCGAAAGCCUGACGGAGCAACGCCGCGUGAGUGAUGAAGGUCUUCGGAUCGUAAAACUCUGUUAUUAGGGAAGAACAUAUGUGUAAGUAACUGUGCACAUCUUGACGGUACCUAAUCAGAAAGCCACGGCUAACUACGUG